CAGGCUAUCAAAUAUCUUUCUUGCAAACAUUCACUUUCAAACAAAAUUAUUGAAUCAUAUAAUGACCUUGCCACUGGUCAAUACGACAUCGACAUCGUCUUUUGUUGGGAUGAAAUGUAAUGCGCUU